UACGAAGGGGGCUAGCGUUGCUCGGAUUCACUGGGCGUAAAGGGUGCGUAGGUGGUGAGGUAAGUCGGAUGUGAAAUCUCCGAGCUCAACUCGGAAAUGGCAUUGGAAACUACCUUGCUCGAGGGUUGGAGGGGGGACUGGAAUACUUGGUGUAGCAGUGAAAUGCGUAGAUAUCAAGUGGAACACCAGUGGCGAAGGCGAGUCCCUGGACAACUCCUGACACUGAGGCACGAAAGCUAGGGGAGCAAACAGG
rnacentral:rRNA from 1 species